rnacentral:rRNA from 1 species
AAAAUGGAACUUCCGGUGUAGCGGUGAAAUGCGUAGAUAUCGGAGGAACACCGGUGGCGAAGGCGGCCUCCUGGACAGCAACUGACGCUGAGGCACGAAAGCGUGGGGAGCAAAC